rnacentral:rRNA from 1 species
GGGGAAUUUUCCGCAAUGGGCGAAAGCCUGACGGAGCAAUACCGCGUGAGGGAGGAAGGCUCUAGGGUUGUAAACCUCUUUUCUCAGGGAAGAAAAAAAUGACGGUACCUGAGGAAUAAGCAUCGGCUAACUCCGUGCCAGCAGCCGCGGUAAUACGGAGGAUGCAAGCGUUAUCCGGAUUUAUUGGGCGUAAAGCGUCCGCAGGUGGCAGUUCAAGUCUGCUGUCAAAGGUCGGGGCUCAACCCCGAACAGGCAGUGGAAACUGAACAGCUAGAGUACGGUAGGGGCAGAGGGAAUUCCCAGUGUAGCGGUGAAAUGCGUAGAGAUUGGGAAGAACACCGGUGGCGAAAGCGCUCUGCUAGGCCGAAACUGACACUCAUGGACGAAAGCUAGGGGAGCGAAUGGGAUUAGAUACCCCAGUAGUCCUAGCCGUAAACGGUGGAUACUAGGCGUUGUGAGUAUCGACCCUCACAGUGUCGUAGCUAACGCGUUAAGUAUCCCGCCUGGGGAGUACGCGCGCAAGCGUGAAACUCAAAGGAAUUGACGGGGGCCCGCACAAGCGGUGGAGUAUGUGGUUUAAUUCGAUGCAACGCGAAGAACCUUACCAGGGCUUGACAUGUCGCGAAUCUUAGGGAAACUUGAGAGUGCCUUCGGGAGCGCGAACACAGGUGGUGCAUGGCUGUCGUCAGCUCGUGUCGUGAGAUGUUGGGUUAAGUCCCGCAACGAGCGCAACCCUCGUUUUUAGUUGCCAGCAUUAAGUUGGGCACUCUAGAGAGACUGCCGGUGACAAACCGGAGGAAGGUUGGGAUGACGUCAAGUCAGCAUGCCCUUUACGCCAUGGGCUACACACGUAUUACAAUGCUACGGACAAAGGGCAGCAAGCGAACGAUGACAAGCAAAUCCCAUAAACCGUGCCUCAGUUCAGAUUGCAGGCCGCAACUCGCCUGCAUGAAGGUGGAAUCGAUAGUAAUCGCAGGUCAGCAAUACUGCGGUGAAUACGUUCCCGGGCCUUGUACACACCGCCCGU